rnacentral:rRNA from 1 species
GUCCACGCCGUAAACGAUGUCAACUAGCCGUUGGCUCUCUUAGAGAGUUAGUGGCGCAGCUAACGCAUUAAGUUGACCGCCUGGGAGUACGGCCGCAAGGUUAAACUCAAAUGAAUUGACGGGGCCCGCACAAGCGGUGGAGCAUGUGGUUUAAUUCGAUGCAACGCGAAGAACCUUACCUACCCUUGACAUCCAGAGAAUCUGUUAGAGAUAGUAGAGUGCCUUCGGGAACUCUGAGACAGGUGCUGCAUGGCUGUCGU